CUACCUCCGAGUGAGCUCCACCCUGACACGAAAAGAGGCCUUUUAGCAGGAGAAGUUACUGUCGUUUUCUGUAGCCCAGAGGCUAUGAGUAUCGAUAUUUGGCGAGAGAUGGUUAUGCACCUUGGUGAAAGAUUGUGUCUGUUCACGUGUGACGAGGCUCACUGCAUUUCUGAAUGGGGUCUUGAUUUCCGACCUGAGUACAGGGAAAUCAGCAAAGUGUAUUCAAUCCUACCGAAGUCGACGAGAUGGCUGUUUCUGACAGCAACAUGCACGGAUCAGUUACAUCAAUCAAUUUUGGACAUUUUGAACAUUCAGCCGGAUGAGGUCCAAACCAUCGCAGCUGUUCCAGACAG
rnacentral:lncRNA from 1 species